UACGGGGGGGCAAGCGUUGUUCGGAAUUACUGGGCGUAAAGGGCUCGUAGGCGGCCAACUAAGUCAGACGUGAAAUCCCUCGGCUUAACCGGGGAACUGCGUCUGAUACUGGAUGGCUUGAGUUUGGGAGAGGGAUGCGGAAUUCCAGGUGUAGCGGUGAAAUGCGUAGAUAUCUGGAGGAACACCGGUGGCGAAGGCGGCAUCCUGGACCAACACUGACACUGAGGAGCGAAAGCCAGGGGAGCAAACGGG
rnacentral:rRNA from 1 species